rnacentral:rRNA from 1 species
UUUAUGUUAGAUUACUUUAAAGAGUGGUUUUUAAGUUUAAUAAUUUUGUAUAUAAUGUUUAUAAUAAAUACUUUAUAGGUUGAGGAGCAAAAGGAGAGGGGCUCGCGUCUUAUUAGUUAGUUGGUGAGGCAAUGGCUUAGCGAUCGUAGCUGUCGAGAGGAUGAUCAGCCAUAUUGGGAUUGAGACAUGGCCCAGACUCCUAUGGGAGGUAGCACUGGGGAAUUUUCUACAAUGGGCAAAACCCUGAUGAAGCAAUGUUGCGUGAAGGCAGAGGGCCCAUGAGUCAUGAACUUCUUUUCUCAAAGAAGAAAAAAUAACAGUAUCUGAGGAAUAAGCAUCAGCUAACUUUGUGCCAGUAGCCGCGGUAAGACAGAGGUUGCAAAUGUUAUCUGGAAUGAUUGGGUGUAAAGCGACUGUAGGUGGCUUUUCAAGUCCAUUGUCAAAUCCCAGGGCUCAACCCUGGACAGGCAGUGGAAACUACCAAGCUAGAGUAUGAUAGGGGCAGCUGGGAUUUCUGGUGGAGCGGUGAAAUGCAUUGAGAUCAGAAAGAACACCAACGAUGAAAGCACUCUGCUGGGUCGACACUGACACUGAGAGACGAAAGCUAGGGGAGAAAAUGGGAUUAGAUACCCUAGUAGUCCUGACUGUAAAUGACGGAUAGUAAGUGAUGUGCGUAUCGACCUGUGUAGCGUUAUAGCUAACGUGUCAAGUAUCCCGCCUAGCGAGUAGAUUCACAAGAAUGAAACUUAAAGGAAUUGAUGGGGGCCCGCAUAAGCGAUGGAGCAUGUGGUUCAAUUUGAUGCAAAGCGAAAAGCCUUUUACCAGGGCUUGACAUGUUCUGAAUCCUUCGAAAGAGAGGGAGUGCCUUCGGGAAUGUGAACAUAGGUGGUGCAUCGCUGUUGUCAACUCUUGCCGUAAGGUGUUGGGUUAUGUCCCGUAACAAGCGCAACCCUCGUGUUUUGUUGCCAUAAUUGAGUUUGGAACCCUGAACAGACUGUCGGUGAUAAGCCAGGAGGAAGGGUGAGGAUGACGUCAAGUCACAUUGACCUGCCGAGGGCAAGCUAACUCAAAAAACCCGGCCUCAGUUCGGAUUGCAAGCUUGCAACUCGGCUGCAUGAAGGCCAGAAUUACUAGUAAUCAUGAUCACAUACAACGACUCGAAUUCCGUUCCCAGGCCUGUACACACACCAUCACACUAUGGGAGCUGGCCAUGCCCCAAGUCAUUACCUUAACCACAAGGAGGGGGAUGUUGAAGGCUAGGCUAGUGACUAGAGUGAAGUCGUAACAAGGUAGGCGUACUGGAAGGUGCGACUG